UAUGACAGACAAAAUGAGAAAAAAAAUUCCAGAAAAUCACAUUGUAGGAUUUUUAAUUAAUUUUAUGUUAGCAACACAUACCUACUGUAAUGAAUUAGAGUUGGAUCCGUUUAGAUUUGUCUAAUGCUUUACUAGUAAACAUGCGUUUAUUUAACGGAUAAGCCCAUCAGAGACGAGUAAAUAUAUAAAUCUAACUUCAAAUUGAUUCCAGUGGAGUAAAUAGACUGUAUUUAUUCCGACCUAUUGACAGUGAUACAAUUAGUUUAGUUGCAGUACCAUAUUUUAAUAUUUUAGAUUCAUUAUAUUUGUUUUAAGGAAGUAUUAAGAUGUGUUAUAUGGAAAUUUAACAAACUAUCACUUUGAAAUCCAUUAAUUUUGGGAGGAACUACUGAUCAGGAUGUGACGUCAAUGUUGUUUUUAACACAGCAGGUUAAAAUGCUCGCUGUCCGAUCUUUAUAAUGAAACAUUUCACGGCUUGAAGGCAAAUAUAAGAAUGCAGUUUUAUUGUGUAUACAAUUCAUUGCUAGGGACAAAAGCACAAUCAUACUGACGUUUGUAAUGAUUAAGAUAACCUAGUAUUAGCUAGCCAAAUGGCUAACCUCUAACUGUAGCUAUGCCAUCCAUUGCUAGCUAACGUUAACUAGCCACAUGUGUCCUAUAAACUAGCUAACUAUCUAGCAUCCGACCCGUUUACUUACAGCUGCAUUGGGGUCGGACAUCAUUCAUGUGUAGAUUAAGAAACCAUAGAGCCAGUGCUGUAAUAUUUGGGAUAAUGAGACAUUUCGGAGUACAAAGCAUUUGUCAUCCCUGGAUUGAUGUACAUUUCCCAAACCGUAUAUGUUGCCAGUUCCGCGGUGUCUUAAUCUACACAGGAAUGCUGUCCGACCCUAUGUAAGCAAACGGGUCGGAUCUGCUGGCUAAUAUACUAGCUAGCUGGCCAGAGUAAACUCUAUUUGAUGUAAGCUAAUGUCUUCUUUACUCUUAUCGUGGAACAAUGUCUCAGAAGUAUCCCAGGCUCGUCUAAUGUAGUCCAGAAGAACGAUGAAAUUUAAUCUGCAUACGUUACUAUUAGCUAGCUAUCCAUCUAGGAAGAGUGCACAAAGAAAAACUAUAUGGAUGGAAUAAUUGGGUUUCGGAUGACUUUUGAAAAUGCAAAUAUAAUUUGAUUCUUAUGUACUCAAGGUGUGACAUUCCACAUGACGAACAUUACAGGAUUUGAAGCUGUCUCAUUUGUUUACAACGUCUAUGGCAACUACAUUGUUGGAUGGAUUCACAUAACUUUAUGUACAUUUAUCUACCCAACCAUUAUGGAUGGAGAAUCCAUAUGAACCACAGAAGGGCUGCAUUCUGUGACAUCACAGUGGAUUUCAAGAAUGUUCAGGACUGUGAUAAGAAACAGAGGGAGAUUUCCAAAGCCAUAAAGAAAGCUAUGGGAUUCAUGUCUGGACCCACAUUAUGAAAGAUACAAACACCUUCGACAACCAGCACUUGGGAGUAACUGUCAGCCUGUAUUGGGGAACUAGUGUAGCAUAUAUACUGUAAUAAUUGUAUUAAAAUAAUUCUUAAUGUGGAAUAUUGCUUGUUAAUCUAGUCUGAGCUGCUAUGCUUGGGUUGAGCCAUGAGACCAAUAAUCGUAACUCACUACACGUGAAAAUAAUUUUAUGUAAUUAUGUACAAGUUCAAUAACAGCUUGAAUAUAAAAAAAUGGUUGAUAAACUAAAGUUAUUAUAAUCAAUAACUUGGACAGUCACUUCUAAAUAAAACAUGUUGCCCCUAAAAAUAAGCUAAUUGAAGGCAUCCCUGCAAACAUAUCAAGUUUUCAGUUAUUGAUGGAGGACGGUUACAGGGGAAUGUCACAGAAUUUCAUAUAAUCCAUACACAGUGACAUUUAAUGCAAAGUGACCAUUCUUGAGCGGUCCAUUUGGUCUUCAGAAGACGGGGGAAUUGGACACAUCUAAAUCAUUUCCAUUCUGAUUGGCUGGGAUCAAAUCCUCCUCGGUCUCGGACCCACUGACUGACAAAGACUCCUCAGUCUCCUCCAGCAUGCCUUUCCUCCUCUUCGGCACCUCAGAUGAUUCACGAAGGGGACGUUUUCUCCAGGAUGUACCUCCGCCUCGCCCAAGCCUCCCCUUCCUGGCUUUAGGGAGUGUAUGACUCAGGAUCAAAGGCAGUGUUGUAGCAAUGUCUAUGCCAUGGUCAGUGCUGCAGCAGAACUCAGGCAAUGGAAACCCCUGGAAGUUUAGAGCCUGCGUUUGGAGUAGAGAUGCCCCAGGGAAUAGUGUUUUGAUGACCUCACAGAGCAGCACAUUCUCCUGGGGCUGUGCCGGGGUGGAGGCUCCAUCUGCUGAGACUGGAAACACAAACGUAAAUAAAAUGUUUAAUACACACAAGAGAAUAAAUCAAGACUGAUUCAUCAAUAGAAACAAAGGUUAUACUUUCUCCCAGCUCUUGUUUCCUAUCAUUGACCAUCCUUCUUAGAUCAGAAACGUCUGCAAGCAGCUUCUCGACCAAUCGUUCACUCUCCUCCACUUUCUUACAUGCAAUCUGUGAAAAGAAAUAAACAAAUCCCAGGUGACACCA